ACUGUUAUCGAAUUGGAUUAUCACACGCAGUAUGCACAACAAUUCAACCUAUUCCACUGUUCAAAGCCUGGUGUCAUAAGAUGGUGUCAUACACAAGCCCAGAGAAUCGUUUCGACUUGCUUCUGUCACUACUACUAAGCUUGCACUUUCGUUUAUUACAGAUUAUUCUCAAAAAACAGAACUACAGGUUCUGGUGCAGUCACGUGGCCAUUUUAUUGGCGAAUCCACCAGUUCCUUGGGAGUCUGCCAGUUAAUGACGCUUCACUUGCUGUUGAAAGCAACUGCGAAAGCCUCUCCGUUUCACAGAUCGUACGCAGUAUGGAAACGGGGAGUGAAUUGAGCGAGCUUGAGCCUCUUGGCAGUGAGGCCGAGAUCCAGCUGGUGAUAGAAAUGCCAGAAUCUUCAAGUGCCACCGUUGCCACAAGUACUGCCAAUUUAGAGCAAACAGCAGCAACUGGACUGGCGGAGACAGCUGCACCUGCCGUGGAAAGCCUUCCGCAAUGCAGUGAAUCGUCACCAGCGGAAGCUGGAGCAACUGCGGCACAGCCAGCUGCAUCAAAAAAAAGGACACGAGCUGGCCCCGAUUCUGCAAUCAUGGAAAUGGUUAAAGAACAAAAGAUGUUCAGAGGAAUGUGGCAAGAGUGCAAAGCACGAGAACUCGAGCUACAAAUGGACAGCUGAAGCUUCAGAAGGAAGCAGCUAAAAGGGAAGAAAAGCUGAUUGGUAUUCUUCAAAAGUUCCUUGAAUGACGGAGGCCUUAAAGAAAUAUUUAUUCAAUAAAUACUAGUUUGCCUUUUGUAA